UUUUCUUUUAAAAAAGAAAAAAAAAAACUUUUUUCUCUUCCUUCUUCUUCUUCCUCCCCCCAACCUGAAGACCCUCUUUAUGUGCCUAGCAAUCGCCGACCAUCUCCUCUUCAGCCGGCAUCGUCAUCCGAUCAAGCCGCCACCAGCUCAUCGGUCGUUCGUUCGUGGGCCAUCGUUCGCACAGGUCAGCUCGAUCUCGUCAGCAAGUAGAGAUCGUCCAAAUCUCCUCCGUCGCGCCCCGAUCUCGCCCAGCCGGUCAGAUUUGUGUCCGAAACCAUCGUCUGCCCAGCCACUCCUCCGCGCGCCACACGUCGUCGAGGAUUUCGCCCAGCAACUCUCGCGGGUUCUUAUACGUAUCAUUCGUGGGUUUCUUCCUCUCCGCCCCUUGCCAAAGUCGCCACGUUCGCCAGAUCUAAAGCCAUCUCCGUCGAAGCGUCGUCGCCUCAGUCAUUCACACUCUGCUGAUGGCAGACCCUGUCUGUUGCCGUCCAAGAUCUCGGCCAGCGUCUUAGCUCCGCCACUGCCGUUGUCUUGCUCUCAUCGGAUUCUCAAGAUUUGUGUAAGAUUGGGUUCUUUUAGAUUCAGGUUCAGUAUUAGGUGGCUUUGCGUUGUGUUGAUUUGGAUGAUUUCAAGUGAUUUGGAUUUCAAACCACAUCUUGGGUUGGCUUUGUUUGCAAAGUUUGGGAGCGAAUUCAGCUUAAACUUCAGCUUUGGAACUUUGAUCCAAGAUUAUUCCAUUCUAAGGAGAAGAUAAACUUGUUAGUUAUCUUGGGCUUAAGUCUGAGAUCUUCCCUACCCCCAAAUUUAAAGAUGAGCAAGGUCCUCAUUGCGUCAUUUGGAGAGACUAGACAAACACUUAGAAGAAAAUUUCAAAAAGAAGGUGUGAGCAGAACUUUGCAAGAUAAAAGGUAAAGUACUGCUAAACUAAGAAUUAACUAAAUGUAAGUCAUAAUUUAUUAAGUAUGGGAAAUGCUUCUAAGUAUAAACAUGUAAUACAUCAUAGCAACGCAAUGAAGAUCGUAAAAAUAAGAGAUUUGGUAUGUCACAAAAAUUGACAAAGGAAGAUAAAGAAAGAGGCACAGGCAAAAAGUAAAGCGAAUAUAUACUCUGAUUGUAUUGAUUACUAACAAGGUAUACAAAUAAAUUACAAAUGAACGCAUUACAACAUUUUCUACUGCCUGUACAAGAGUCAAAGAAUUUGAUUACUUUACAAAUAAUAAAUGAAUUAAAUAAAAAUAAAGAAUGGCCGCAUAAAAAAUCGUAUUGGAAGAAAGUGUAAAUACUAAGGUUGAGGAGCAGAGGGAUCUGGCAGAUUUUUAGGUGGUGCAGGAGGCGCUUCUUCAAAAUUUAAGUGCUGUCGGAGAUGUAGGGGCACCAUUAGACCAUGAAGAUAUGCGGUAAGAAAGUUGAAGUACGCUUGAUUAUGCUCCGCAAUCAUUCUCUAGUGCAUAUGAACUUUAUAAAUGUUGCGCUGCAUGUUGAUCAACGCCUCUCUUAAUGUGCCGGCACUGCGUUGAAUAUCAUCAAUGUGCUCCAUUACUACCUUAAAUCGUUGAUUGAAGAAGUGUUACUAUUGAGAGAAGAGUUGUUGUUGUUUGGAGAAGUGGGAUCUCAUUUUUGCUAACUCAGCAGCCAUGGAGGUGAUGGAGGGUUGUGCCCGCGAUGUCUCGCCAGCAUUGUUUUGGGGUUGGGCAGAGGGGCCUUCACCCAAACCGUGUGGGUCAUUAACUUGCGGCGGUGGAUUCGUGAGUUGCGGUGAUGAUGCUAAUGGUGAAGGUGGGGCUGCUGGGUAAAUAGGAGAGUUGGGGACAAGAAGAAGGUUUGUAAAAUGCUCGUGUAAGGGGGAAGAGGGUUGCGCUGGUGGGCUUGGAGGGCUUAGAGGUCGAAUGACUAAGGGAAGAGGGUUCAUAGGUUCAAGAUUUUACGUUGGUGACUCCUGGACCUUCUAUUUUCCCUUAUCCUCUCUUCGUCUUCUUUUUGGUCUAGGUUCUAACGGCGCAUUCAAAUCGAUCGCAGGCCUCUUUGCUGGUAGCUUGGGGCAGUAUGGAGAAUCUUUGAGGAGCAUCCUCAAGAUUUUUAUGUUGAUGAGGUCGUGGAAUUCUAGCAUGGGCUCCUCAUCGAUGCCUACACCCAUAGACAGGCAUAAACUUGAAACGAUCCAUGGGAAGAAGUACUGCCCUGAACAUGCCCUACUAAUGCUCUGAUCUGCCCCGCAAUCAACUGCCCUACGUCAAUAAGAAUGCCGCGGGCUAUGCAGUAUACGGCCAUGACUCGAUCCCUUGAUACAGUUCUGUCAUGCAUUAUUGGGAUCAGCCGCUUCUUGGCCAAAUAAACCCAGAGCCUUCCCUCUGGCAGCAAGGACUUGGACUUUAAGGUACGGAUGCCUUUGAGUGAGACCGACCACUUCGUGCCCGAUUGUGUUAGUAACUUCAACGCGUCCUCUAUCUGCUUUUCUGUGGGAUCAUCAAUAAUCUUGUUCCCUAGUACAUUAGGGUUGUCCUUCAUUUGAUAAAUUUCAUUGAUGUCCCUUGCGUUAAAGGAUACUGUCUCUCCCUUAAAGGUCACCGCAUCCCUAUUUUCAUGUAAGCGCCCGUGGUAAAAGCUUCGCACUACCUGAGGCACAAUGAUGAAUGGGCACUGGCAGAAUGUGUCCCACCCAUGCUCCACAAUUACGCUCGUGGUGAGGUCAGGUAGUGGG